GUCCAACUUCACAAAUACAACCGCAAAAUUUAGCAGAAAGCAAACUACUUUUCUGUGUCUUUAACCAAAAUUCUUAUCUAUUUCUCAAAAGCAAACAGAUUAAGAACACAAAAAGACAUAUACCAAAAGUAACAGUAAAAGCUACUUGAAAUCUUAAACAUAUAUUUACAUUUCCAUAAUCAAACAACUUACCUAAAAACAACUUAAAA
rnacentral:misc_RNA from 1 species